AAAACAUCGCCUCUUGUAUUUCACAAAUAAGAGGUCUCGCCUGCCCAAUGACUGUACGUUAAAUGGCCGCGGUAUAGUUAACCGUGCAAAGGUAGCGCAAUCACUUGUCUUUUAAUUGAAGACCCGUAUGAAAGGCUCAACGAGGGCUUAACUGUCUCCUUUCUCCAGUCAAUGAAAUUGAUCUCCCCGUGCAGAAGCGGGGAUAAGAACAUAAGACGAGAAGACCCUGUGGAGCUUUAGACCUAAAGGCAGACUAUGUUUUGUACUUCAAAAUAAAGGACUAAACAAUAGUUAUUGCCCCUAUGUCUUCGGUUGGGGUGACCCCGGGGUAAAACAAAACCCCCGUAAAGAACGAGAAAACCUUUUCCCACAAACAAGACUUACCAGUCUAAUUAACAGAACACCUGACUUAACUAAUAAAUGAUCCGGCCCACGCCGAUUAAUGAACCAAGUUACCCCAGGGAUAACAGCGCAAUCCUCUUUAAGAGCCCUUAUCGACAAGAGGGUUUACGACCUCGAUGUUGGUUCAGGACAUCCCGAUGGUGUAGCCGCUAUCAAAGGUUCGUUUGUUCAACGAUUAACAGUCCUACGUGAUCU
rnacentral:rRNA from 1 species